rnacentral:rRNA from 1 species
AUGGCCGGAGGAGGAAGCGACGAAGUGAAGCUGCUGGGCAUGUGGGCGAGCCCGUUCGUCCUUCGCGUCCAGCUCGCGCUCAGCCUCAAGGGCGUCGGCUACGAGUACGUCGAAGAGGACCUCAAGAGCAAGAGCGAGCUGCUCCUCAAGUCCAACCCCGUGCUCCAGAAGGUGCCGGUGCUGAUCCACGACGGCAAGCCCGUGUGCGAGUCGUCGGUCAUCCUGCAGUACAUCGACGAGGCUUUCGCCGGCGUCGGCCCCUCGCUCCUCCCGGAGGAACCCCACGGCCGCGCCGUUGCUCGCUUCUGGGCCGCUUACAUCGACGGCACGCUCGUGAAAGCGUCGUCCCAGGCGUCCAUGGCCAAGACGGAGGAGGAGAAGGCCGAGGGGAAGAAGCAGGUGACCGCCGCGGUGGAGACCUUGGAGGGGGCCCUGAGGGACUGCUCUAACGGCAAACCCUUCUUCGGCGGCGACACCGCGGGGUACGUCGACGUGAUGCUCGGCGGCCUCCUCGCAUGGGUGCACGCGGGCGAUAAGAUGAAGGGCGUCAAGACCUUCGAUCCCGCCACCACUCCGCUCUUGGCUGCGUGGGCGGACAACUUCGGAUCGUUGGACGCGGUGGAGGCGGUCAUGCCGGACGUGGGCAAGCUGGUCGAGUUUGCCAUGGCGAUGCACGCUCGCGCCGCAGCCGCCGCUACAAACUAA